rnacentral:rRNA from 1 species
AGAGAGAGACAUGCGCGCAUAUCAAUAAGCGGAGGAAAAGAAACUAACAAGGAUUCCCUAGUAACGGCGAGUGAAGCGGGAAGAGCUCAAAUUUGAAAUCUUCAAGGUUUUACCUUGACGAAUUGUAGUUUAAAGAAGUGUUUUCUGCUGGAGUUUUGGUAAAAGUUCUUUGGAAUAGGACAUCAUAGAGGGUGAGAAUCCCGUAUUUGACCAUUAUUUUCAGCUUUGUGAUACACUUUCAAAGAGUCGGAUUGUUUGGGAAUGCAGUCCAAAAUGGGUGGUAAAUUUCAUCUAAAGCUAAAUAUUGGCGAGAGACCGAUAGCGAACAAGUACCGUGAGGGAAAGAUGAAAAGAACUUUGAAAAGAGAGUUAAACAGUACGUGAAAUUGUCAAAAGGGAAGCGUUUGACACCAGUGUUGUUUUCUCGAAAAUCAAUUAAAAAUGGCUCGAUUUUGUAUUGCUUGAGACCUUAAAAGCUCACUGUACAUUUUUCGUGUCUUUUUUAAUGCACUUUUCGUUUAACAAGUCAACAUCAGUUUCUUUUGUUGUAAAAGGGUCAUUGGAAGGUGGCUUUCUUUUCGGAGAAAGUGUUUAUAGCCUUUGGCCUCUGCAAUCGGAGAGACUGAGGUCUGCAGCGUAGACUCUUCGGGGUUAGAUACAUUUGUGCUAAGUUAUAGCUUUUUAUAGACAACUUGUUGACUAUAAUUAGUCUUGUAGCUUACUCGCUUAUGCUAUUUUACCUACGCUUAGGAUGUUGAAGAUGUAGCACAUCAU